rnacentral:rRNA from 1 species
ACGGCCCUACGGGUUGUAAACUGCUUUAUACGGGAAUAAACCUCAUUACGUGUAAUGAGUUGAAUGUACUGUAAGAAUAAGGAUCGGCUAACUCCGUGC